UAGGGAAUCUUCGGCAAUGGACGAAAGUCUGACCGAGCAACGCCGCGUGAGUGAAGAAGGUUUUCGGAUCGUAAAACUCUGUUGUUAGAGAAGAACAAGGACGUUAGUAACUGAACGUCCCCUGACGGUAUCUAACCAGAAAGCCACGGCUAACUACGUGCCAGCAGCCGCGGUAAUACGUAGGUGGCAAGCGUUGUCCGGAUUUAUUGGGCGUAAAGCGAGCGCAGGCGGUUUCUUAAGCCUGAUGUGAAAGCCCCCGGCUCAACCGGGGAGGGUCAUUGGAAACUGGGAGACUUGAGUGCAGAAGAGGAGAGUGGAAUUCCAUGUGUAGCGGUGAAAUGCGUAGAUAUAUGGAGGAACACCAGUGGCGAAGGCGGCUCUCUGGUCUGUAACUGACGCUGAGGCUCGAAAGCGUGGGGAGCAAACAGG
rnacentral:rRNA from 1 species